UACGGAGGGGGCUAGCGUUGUUCGGAAUUACUGGGCGUAAAGCGCGCGUAGGCGGCUUUGUAAGUUAGAGGUGAAAGCCCGAAGCUCAACUUCGGAAUUGCCUUUAAGACUGCAUCGCUAGAAUCAUGGAGAGGUGAGUGGAAUUCCGAGUGUAGAGGUGAAAUUCGUAGAUAUUCGGAGGAACACCAGUGGCGAAGGCGGCUCACUGGUCCAUUACUGACGCUGAGGUGCGAAAGCGUGGGGAGCAAACAGG
rnacentral:rRNA from 1 species